rnacentral:rRNA from 1 species
UUAAGCGACUAAGCGUACACGGUGGAUGCCCUGGCAGUCAGAGGCGAUGAAGGACGUGCUAAUCUGCGAUAAGCGUCKGUGAGGUGAUAUGAACCGUUAUAACCGGCGAUUUCCGAAUGGGGAAACCCAGUGUGUUUCGACACACUAUCAUUAACUGAAUCCAUAGGUUAAUGAGGCGAACCGGKGGAACUGAAACAUCUAAGUACCCCGAGGAAAAGAAAUCAACCGAGAUUCCCCCAGUAGCGGCGAGCGAACGGGGAGGAGCCCAGAGCCUGAAUCAGUGUGUGUGUUAGUGGAAGCGUCUGGAAAGGCGUGCGAUACAGGGUGACAGCMCCGUACACAAMAAUGCACAUAUUGUGAGCUCGAUGAGUAGGGCGGGACACGUGGUAUCCUGUCUGAAUAUGGGGGGACCAUCCUCCAAGGCUAAAUACUCCUGACUGACCGAUAGUGAACCAGUACCGUGAGGGAAAGGCGAAAAGAACCCCGGCGAGGGGAGUGAAAAAGAACCUGAAACCGUGUACGUACAAGCAGUGGGAGCCUCUUAAUGGGGUGACUGCGUACCUUUUGUAUAAUGGGUCAGCGACUUAUAUUCUGUAGCAAGGUUAACCGAAUAGGGGAGCCGAAGGGAAACCGAGUCUUAACUGGGCGUUAAGUUGCAGGGUAUAGACCCGAAACCCGGUGAUCUAGCCAUGGGCAGGUUGAAGGUUGGGUAACACUAACUGGAGGACCGAACCGACUAAUGUUGAAAAAUUAGCGGAUGACUUGUGGCUGGGGGUGAAAGGCCAAUCAAACCGGGAGAUAGCUGGUUCUCCCCGAAAGCUAUUUAGGUAGCGCCUCGUGAAUUCAUCUCCGGGGGUAGAGCACUGUUUCGGCAAGGKGGUCAUCCCGACUUACCAACCCGAUGCAAACUGCGAAUACCGGAGAAUGUUAUCACGGGAGACACACGGCGGGUGCUAACGUCCGUCGUGAAGAGGGAAACAACCCAGACCGCCAGCUAAGGUCCCAAAGUCAUGGUUAAGUGGGAAACGAUGUGGGAAGGCCCAGACAGCCAGGAUGUUGGCUUAGAAGCAGCCAUCAUUUAAAGAAAGCGUAAUAGCUCACUGGUCGAGUCGGCCUGCGCGGAAGAUGUAACGGGGCUAAACCAUGCACCGAAGCUGCGGCAGCGACACUAUGUGUUGUUGGGUAGGGGAGCGUUCUGUAAGCCUGUGAAGGUGGCCUGUGAGGGUUGCUGGAGGUAUCAGAAGUGCGAAUGCUGACAUAAGUAACGAUAAAGCGGGUGAAAAGCCCGCUCGCCGGAAGACCAAGGGUUCCUGUCCAACGUUAAUCGGGGCAGGGUGAGUCGACCCCUAAGGCGAGGCCGAAAGGCGUAGUCGAUGGGAAACAGGUUAAUAUUCCUGUACUUGGUGUUACUGCGAAGGGGGGACGGAGAAGGCUAUGUUGGCCGGGCGACGGUUGUCCCGGUUUAAGCGUGUAGGCUGGUUUUCCAGGCAAAUCCGGAAAACCAAGGCUGAGGCGUGAUGACGAGGCACUACGGUGCUGAAGCGACAAAUGCCCUGCUUCCAGGAAAAGCCUCUAAGCAUCAGGUAACAUCAAAUCGUACCCCAAACCGACACAGGUGGUCAGGUAGAGAAUACCAAGGCGCUUGAGAGAACUCGGGUGAAGGAACUAGGCAAAAUGGUGCCGUAACUUCGGGAGAAGGCACGCUGAUAUGUAGGUGAAGCGACUUGCUCGUGGAGCUGAAAUCAGUCGAAGAUACCAGCUGGCUGCAACUGUUUAUUAAAAACACAGCACUGUGCAAACACGRAAGUGGACGUAUACGGUGUGACGCCUGCCCGGUGCCGGAAGGUUAAUUGAUGGGGUUAGCGGCAACGCGAAGCUCUUGAUCGAAGCCCCGGUAAACGGCGGCCGUAACUAUAACGGUCCUAAGGUAGCGAAAUUCCUUGUCGGGUAAGUUCCGACCUGCACGAAUGGCGUAAUGAUGGCCAGGCUGUCUCCACCCGAGACUCAGUGAAAUUGAACUCGCUGUGAAGAUGCAGUGUACCCGCGGCAAGACGGAAAGACCCCGUGAACCUUUACUAUAGCUUGACACUGAACAUUGAGCCUUGAUGUGUAGGAUAGGUGGGAGGCUUUGAAGUGUGGACGCCAGUCUGCAUGGAGCCGACCUUGAAAUACCACCCUUUAAUGUUUGAUGUUCUAACGUUGGCCCGUAAUCCGGGUUGCGGACAGUGUCUGGUGGGUAGUUUGACUGGGGCGGUCUCCUCCUAAAGAGUAACGGAGGAGCACGAAGGUUGGCUAAUCCUGGUCGGACAUCAGGAGGUUAGUGCAAUGGCAUAAGCCAGCUUGACUGCGAGCGUGACGGCGCGAGCAGGUGCGAAAGCAGGUCAUAGUGAUCCGGUGGUUCUGAAUGGAAGGGCCAUCGCUCAACGGAUAAAAGGUACUCCGGGGAUAACAGGCUGAUACCGCCCAAGAGUUCAUAUCGACGGCGGUGUUUGGCACCUCGAUGUCGGCUCAUCACAUCCUGGGGCUGAAGUAGGUCCCAAGGGUAUGGCUGUUCGCCAUUUAAAGUGGUACGCGAGCUGGGUUUAGAACGUCGUGAGACAGUUCGGUCCCUAUCUGCCGUGGGCGCUGGAGAACUG